CCAUGGGAGUUGGUUUUGCCCGAAGUCGUUACUCCAACUGUUCGCAGAGGAGGAUGCCGAAGGCAGGGCUGAUGACUGGGGUGAAGUCGUAACAAGGUAGCCGUACCGGAAGGUGUGGCUGGAUCACCUCCUUUUAGGGAGACCUACCCACUCUGCAGGAGUUGCGCAGUACGAAGAGUACGAGUGCAGGAUUUUUUGCAAGAGUUGGUUAUCCCAAGGUCGAGCAGGGAUGAGUGAAGCUGUCUUCUAAACUACACCAGGUUAAAAACGAACAAGCAGCCAAUCUAUCCUAAAGAUAGAUUGUAGUUGUUUGAGAUGGGGUAUAUUUCGGCAAUUGAUCUAGCGAGGGAGUUAGACGGUUUGCUGGAUUAGGCUCCAGCGAAGCACCUUGAAAACUGCAUAGUAGAAGAAGUCAGGUAGAGAAGACUGAGCCUUGUUCAUUGUACUGAGCGAGGGCAACGAAGAUUCGAAAGGGUCAAGUUGUACCGAGUGAAGGAGGAGUGAAGGAGGAGCAGUUCAGGAAACAGACAUUCAAGAGAGAAGGUCAAGUUAAUAAGGGCUGAUGGU
rnacentral:misc_RNA from 2 species